rnacentral:rRNA from 1 species
UACGUAUGGGGCAAGCGUUAUCCGGAAUUAUUGGGCGUAAAGAGUGCGUAGGUGGUUACCUAAGCGCAAGGUUUAAUCUUGAGGUUCAACCUCAUUCUGCCUUGCGAACUGGGCUACUUGAGUGCUGGAGGGGAAAGCGGAAUUCCCAGUGUAGCGGUGAAAUGCGUAGAUAUUGGGAAGAACACCGGUGGCGAAGGCGGCUUUCUGGACAGUAACUGACACUGAGGCACGAAAGCGUGGGGAUCAAACAGGAUUAGAUACCCUGGUAGUCCCUGA